CCCACAAUGGGACUGAGAGACGGCCCAUACUCCUACGGGAGGCAGCAGCAGGGAAUAUUGCACAAUGGACGGAAGUCUGAUGCAGCGACGCCGCGUGGAUGAUGAAGGCCUUCGGGUCGUAAAAUCCUUUUCGGGGGGAAGAGAAAGGACGGUACCCCCGGAAUAAGCGUCGGCUAACUACGUGCCAGCAGCCGCGGUAAUACGUAGGACGCGAGCGUUAUCCGGAUUUACUGGGCGUAAAGCGUCUGUAGGCGGUCGGGUAAGUUGGACGUGAAAGCUCCGGGCUUAACCCGGAGAGGCCGUUCAAUACUGCUUGACUGGAGGGCGUGAGAGGGGAGCGGAAUUCCCGGUGUAGCGGUAAAAUGCGCAGAUAUCGGGAGGAACACCAGUGGCGAAGGCGGCUCCCUGGUACGAACCUGACGCUGAGAGACGAAAGCUAGGGGAGCGAACAGGAUUAGAGACCCUGGUAGUCCUAGCCCUAAACGCUGGAUGCUAGGUGUGGGGCCGAAUAGGCUCUGUGCCGCAGCUAACGCGUUAAGCAUCCCGCCUGGGGAGUACGGCCGCAAGGUUAAAACUCAAACGAAUUGACGGGGCCCCGCACAAGCAGCGGAGCGUGUGGUUUAAUUCGAUAUUACACGAAGAACCUUACCUGGGUUUGACAUGAAGGUGGUAGGGAAGCGAAAGCAGACCGACUCUUCGGAGAGCCUUCACAGGUGCUGCAUGGCUGUCGUCAGCUCGUGCCGUGAGGUGUCGGGUUAAGUCCCGUAACGAGCGCAACCCUUGCCCUUAGUUACAAGUGUCUAGGGGGACUGCCGGCGGGAAGCCGGAGGAAGGUGGGGAUGAUGUCAAGUCAGCAUGGCCCUUAUGUCCAGGGCUACACACACGCUACAAUGGACGGUACAAAGGGCAGCGAAGCCGCGAGGUGGAGCGAAUCCCAACAAAGCCGUCCUUAGUACGGAUAGCAGGCUGCAACCCGCCUGCUUGAAGCUGGAGUUGCUAGUAACCGCGCGUCAGCUAUAGUGCGGUGAAUACGUUCCCGGGGCUUGUACACACCGCCCGUCACGUCAUGGGAGUCGGUAACGCCUGAAGCCGGUAGCCUAACGCGCAAGCGAGGGCGCUGUCGAAGGCGGGGCUGGCGACUGGGACGAAGUCGUAACAAGGUAGCGGUACCGGGGGGGUGCGGCUG
rnacentral:rRNA from 1 species